AAUUCUUGUCUCUUUUCUAGUCUGUCACCUUCAAAACUACCAGCAGAAAUCUUGCUCGAGCCAUGUGUAUGAAGAACCUCAAGCUCACGAUCAUUAUCAUCAUCGUAUCAAUUGUAUUCAUCUAUAUCAUUGUCUCACCUCUCUGUGGUGGAUUUACAUGGCCAAGCUGUGUGAAGAAAUAAGAAAAAGUUAUCAUUAACCAAGGAUAUGAGAGAACAAGGAGUUAAAAGCAAUCCAUGUGACUCAAGCCUUUCACAUACUGACAGAUGGUAUCUGCCAGUCUCUUCAACCCUCUUCUCACUUUUUAAAAUCUUGUUCCAUGCCUCCAGGUUUACCUUUGUCUUAUCAACCAGUUUAUUCCCGUGAACUUCAGAUUGAACCAUUCAUUGCAGCAGUAGCCUUAAAAUGGCUUUUGUUUAUUUCUUUGGUUUGUUUACUAGUGUCAUCUAUUCAGAGCAACAUUUUUGUUUUUAAUUGCACAAAGCUGUCGCCACUAGUCUUAUGAGCUAUCUACUAAAACUGUGGAGAAAUUUUGUAUGUGCACACAGAAGUAUUCAAGAGACAGUAUUGCUAACAUCUCAUUUUAAUGUCUUUUGUUAAUGAGAAGUUUUAGGUGCUUCAAAACAAUAUAAAUGGAUAAUAGUUGUGAUUUGGGGAAUUGUAAUGACGUUGGUGCUGCUUCCUUCUAAGAGCUCAAAGUAUGAAACAUUCUUAUUUCAGUUAGAAAUGUUCAGAUGGGGAGCAUUUUGCUAGGCCAUUAGAAGCACACAGAUUAUCCUUGUUCUCCUAGUAUUCCCUUUCAGGAAUAAAGUUCAGUGUGCUGAUCAUUCACAAUACAGUGGAUAGCUUGAUAUCUUCUGUUUUCCCAUUGCAGUUGAUUUGAGAAGAUGAAGGUUUAAAUAUUGUUGAAGGUUGCAGUUUUUUAAUUGUGUUCCUUCUUCUUCUGUGAAUAUUUAGGGAAAUCAUGUCACUAAUAGAAUAUGUAGUAGAGGGAGCGGAGAGGUAAAUUCCUCUGACUUGCCAAAGAAAAAGAAGGGAACCACAAUGGAUGUGUUAGCAUUUUCGCUGUGCAAAGGGGAGGUAGUGUGGGAAAAGUGUUUCCAUUCUGGGAAAAGUCUUUCCAUUCUGGGAAAAGGCCAAACCUAAUACGGUCAGCAGUCAACUCUAGGGUUUGGGCUUGACUCCUGUUGAAUAAUAGUUUGAGCAUUCUUUGUGGUUUAAUAAAUUCUUAAAUCUGCCUAGUUUUGAUGAAUUCUUUUGUGAAACUUGAAAGAGAAUAGACAGUAUGACAUAUAGAAUUAAUACAAAACAGUUUAACCAUUUAACUGCAGUGUAAGAAAAUUGGACUGUAAUCAUAUUGCUACUGGCAUCUGUUAUCUAGUAUGCAUUUCUGGUGUGUAUCUGAAAGGAAGACAUUUUCUACCCUAGAUCCAAUUGCAUUUAUUUAUCAAUAAGUGCCAUUAAAUUGAAAUUAUAUUACAUUUUACACUUUCUCAAUGAAUGAACAAAUUAGUCUGUAGAAUCUAGCCACCUGUUUAGCCUAGUCAUGUGCCUUGAACAUAUAUGUGUCCCAUAAUCUAGCUCAUGGUACCUGUUCUUCCAUCUAAACCUUUCAAUUCAUGCUAUCUGACUCAUUUAUUUGACAUAUAUCUUAGGCCCACUUGAACUCUUUUCUUGUUUAUCUAGCAUAGCACAAAUGUUUUUCCAGUUUUCUUUAUCAACACUAAUGCCUCUUAAUUGCAUCAGCAUUUCCUAUUGGAAAAUACAUCUGUCCCAGAAAAACAUUUGGCAUUCCUGAAUAAUUUCCAAAUGUUUUUAAUCCAAAGAAAAAGGUUUCAAGUUUAUUUCCCUUUCUUAUACACACCUGAAUAAAAUUGAUGUGCAUGUUUUAGGGAUCAAUAACCUAACUGUUCCUUGGUCUAUUUAUGUAUAAGAAUGCUUUUUAAAGCACAUGUCUCGUUUUAAAUGACGCACAAACUGAAGACGUUAAUAAAAUUUAAGAGUAAUACAAUGA